AUUGAACGCUGGCGGCAGGCCUAACACAUGCAAGUCAAACGGUAACAGGAAACAGCUUGCUGUUUCGCUGACGAGUGGCGGACGGGUGAGUAAUGUCUGGGAAACUGCCUGAUGGAGGGGGAUAACUACUGGAAACGGUAGCUAAUACCGCAUAACGUCGCAAGACCAAAGAGGGGGACCCUCGGGCCUCUUGCCAUCGGAUGUGCCCAGAUGGGAUUAGCUUGUUGGUGGGGUAACGGCUCACCAAGGCGACGAUCCCUAGCUGGUCUGAGAGGAUGACCAGCCACACUGGAACUGAGACACGGUCCAGACUCCUACGGGAGGCAGCAGUGGGGAAUAUUGCACAAUGGGCGCAAGCCUGAUGCAGCCAUGCCGCGUGUAUGAAGAAGGCCUUCGGGUUGUAAAGUACUUUCAGCGGGGAGGAAGGGAGUAAAGUUAAUACCUUUGCUCAUUGACGUUACCCGCAGAAGAAGCACCGGCUAACUCCGUG
rnacentral:rRNA from 1 species